rnacentral:rRNA from 1 species
CAUGUGGUUUAAUUCGAUGAUACGCGAGGAACCUUACCUGGGCUCGAACGUAAGAUGACUGUAGGUGAAAGCUUACAUCUCUUCGGAGCAUUUUACGAGGUGCUGCAUGGUUGUCGUCAGCUCGUGCCGUGAGGUGUCGGGUUAAGUCCCAUAACGAGCGCAACCCCUACCUUUAGUUGCCAUCAGGUUGAGCUGGGGACUCUAAAGGAACUGCCUACGCAAGUAGUGAGGAAGCGGGGAUGACGUCAAAUCAGCACGGCCCUUACGUCCAGGGCUACACACGUGCUACAAUGGCCGAUACAGAGGGCAGCUACCUGGUGACAGGAUGCAAAUCUCCAAAGUCGGUCUCAGUUCGGAUCGGAGUCUGCAACCCGACUCCGUGAAGUUGGAUUCGCUAGUAAUCGCGCAUCAGCCAUGGCGCGGUGAAUACGUUCCCGGGCCUU